rnacentral:piRNA from 1 species
UGUGAGCAGGGUGUUGGGCCCAUACACUUC